GAUGAACGCUGGCGGCGUGCCUAAUACAUGCAAGUCGAGCGCCCCGCAAGGGGAGCGGCAGACGGGUGAGUAACGCGUGGGAAUCUACCCAUCUCUACGGAAUAACGCAUGGAAACGUGUGCUAAUACCGUAUACGUCCUUCGGGAGAAAGAUUUAUCGGAGAUGGAUGAGCCCGCGUUGGAUUAGCUAGUUGGUGGGGUAAAGGCCUACCAAGGCGACGAUCCAUAGCUGGUCUGAGAGGAUGAUCAGCCACACUGGGACUGAGACACGGCCCAGACUCCUACGGGAGGCAGCAGUGGGGAAUAUUGGACAAUGGGCGCAAGCCUGAUCCAGCCAUGCCGCGUGAGUGAUGAAGGCCCUAGGGUUGUAAAGCUCUUUCACCGGUGAAGAUAAUGACGGUAACCGGAGAAGAAGCCCCGGCUAACUUCGUGCCAGCCGCCGCGGUAAAAC
rnacentral:rRNA from 1 species